rnacentral:lncRNA from 1 species
CACUCCAGCCUGGGCGAAAGAGCGAGACUCCGCCUCAAAAAAAAAAAAAACUUCUCUGAGAAUCAAUUGGCUUUUUGGAAUUUACAAUAAAGAGUAUUGCAUAUUUUAUUGUUACUUGUAAAGUGUGUGCUACACAAACUUUAGCAGUUUAAAAGAUUUUUUCCCCUGGAGAAUAAUUUGAUAAACAUUCAUCAGCAUACCUCUGGGCGUAGACCAUGAGAAAUGUUCCGACAUCUACAUUGCAGCUGGUCAAGAACUAAGGUAUCUUAUGGAAUCUUGCAGCUUUUAGAACCCAGUGGGGCAAUGGUUCUCAAAAUGUAGGAGGAGCAUAAUCAUUAGGGAGUUAAUAAAAAUGUAAUACCAGAGGUUCUACCUUCUGAACCCAAUUUCGUUGGUCUGGUUUGGGGAUGAAACUUUGUUUUUGUUGUUAAUUUCCAUUUGUUUUCAUUUGUUGUUUUUAAAUCUUGGGAUUUUAACAAGCCCCGGUUCUGAAGAACGGAUCUGCAUAGUACACUUUGGGAAACAUUGUCCCAGGAAGCCUGAGAAGCACUUUAUAAGGUCGAUUAAAUUGUCAGGCACAUCAUGGAAAUGUCAAUCUUUAAAAGUUCUUGGUAGCUAGGCCAGUAUUUUAAACACAUGCCUCUAAGAUACAGUGAUUUGUUCAAAGACUACUUUUCUACUUCAAGGAUAUUGAAAUGAAAAUUGAGUUUCUAGUAGCGCAUUUGUUCAGUUAGGUUAAACACUUGAUAAGGCUGGGGUUGACAAUCCCAGCCUGCCUAUCAAUUUUAUUAUUUCUUGGCUUUUGAUCAGAACUAUGAACUCUUACAAGCUUUUGGUGUUGGUUGGCCUAUUUUGCCAUUCACAAUUACUAGGUUAUUUUGGGCCGAUACAUGUAGUCUCUACUAGGUAUAGGUAGAUGAGAGUUAUAGAGAGGAUGACCACAUAAGUUUUCAUCCCAAAAGAGACAUUUUGAGAGUGAAAGAGGGCACUAUUAACAAUUACAAUUAUGGGGACAAUGGGAUAAACUGGGUCUGUUCUGGGCACCAAGCUGUAGGGGCCAAGGGAAAGCUUCCCCUCUGCCUUCAAAAGGUUCACUGAAAAUAAACUGACAGCAAGCUGAUCAUAGAAGAAGACAUGUGAAACUUAUUUAACCUGCUUAAGCACAGGGGAGUCACAUGAGAACAAUUUCCCAGUAACCCAGUGAGAUCCAGAUGCGUACUACUUCAUAGAAGAAAGGGAGAUGGAGGUGUGGCAAUUUUGAGGAGUAGUAAAUGAUAAUUAGUGGGAGUGAAUGGACCUGGAGGCAGUAACUUGUAAAUGACUCUCUGGAAUUUCAAUGAGCCCAAGAGGCAAACAUUGUCAGGCCUCUGAGACCAAGCUAAGCCAUCAUAUCCCCUGUGACCUGCACAUAUACAUCCAGAUGGCCUGAAGCAACUGAAGAAUCACAAAAGAAGUGAAAAUGGCUGGUUCCUGCCUUAACUGAUGACGUUACCUUGUGAAAAUCCUUCUGGCUCAGAAGCUCCCCCACUGAGCACCUUGUGACCCCUGCUCCUGCCUGCCAGAGAGCAACCCCUUUGACUCAACACCUUUGACUGUAAUUUUCCAAAUCCCGUAAAACUGCCCCCGCACCAUCUCCCUUCGCUGACUCCUUUUUCGGACUCAGCCCGCCUGCACCCAGGUGAAAUAAACAACCUUGUUGCUCACACAAAGCCUGUUUGGUGAUCUCUUCACACGGACGCGUGUGACAAACAUUAUCUUGUGUAAAAGUCUUUCCAGGUGUGGUUUCAUUCCUCAGUC